GACGAACGCUGGCGGCGUGCCUAAUACAUGCAAGUAGAACGCUGAAGGAGGAGCUUGCUCUUCUGGAUGAGUUGCGAACGGGUGAGUAACGCGUAGGUAACCUGCCUGGUAGCGGGGGAUAACUAUUGGAAACGAUAGCUAAUACCGCAUAACAUUGACUAUUGCAUGAUAGUCAAUUAAAAGGUGCAAAUGCACCACUACCAGAUGGACCUGCGUUGUAUUAGCUAGUUGGUGGGGUAACGGCUCACCAAGGCGACGAUACAUAGCCGACCUGAGAGGGUGAUCGGCCACACUGGGACUGAGACACGGCCCAGACUCCUACGGGAGGCAGCAGUAGGGAAUCUUCGGCAAUGGACGGAAGUCUGACCGAGCAACGCCGCGUGAGUGAAGAAGGUUUUCGGAUCGUAAAGCUCUGUUGUAAGAGAAGAACGAGUGUGAGAGUGGAAAGUUCACACUGUGACGCUAUCUUACCAGAAAGGGACGGCUAACUACGUG
rnacentral:rRNA from 1 species